ACCUCAUCCAGAGGGGCUGAGGGAUACGGCCCGAUGACGCCCCGGCAACCACCCGCGCGCUCGACGUCGAGCGACGGCGGGCAGGUGCCAAUUCCGUCCCCGCCGCACCCGGCGAUGCGGGGAAAGAUGAGAG
rnacentral:ncRNA from 1 species